rnacentral:rRNA from 1 species
UACGUAGGCAGCGAGCGUUGUUCGGAGUUACUGGGCGUAAAGGGUGCGUAGGCGGUUGUUUAAGUUUGGUGUGAAAUCUCCCGGCUCAACUGGGAGGGUGCGCCGAAUACUGAAUGACUCGAGUGCGGGAGAGGAGAGUGGAAUUCCUGGUGUAGCGGUGAAAUGCGUAGAUAUCAGGAGGAACACCGGUGGCGAAGGCGGGUCUCUGGGCCGUAACUGACGCUGAGGAGCGAAAGCGUGGGGAGCGAACAGG